GUGUGGGCAGCACCAACAAAAGCAGCAGAGAGGGAUUUCCAGUAUUAAUAAAGGGAUUCACUGCUGCAUUUGGAGAGGGGAAAAAAAGAAGGGUUAACUUAUGCUCUGAACUGCCUACCGAUCACAAAUAAUGGCGAAAUGGCACUUUCUGAUUAUACUGUAUUUUGUUUAUAGAAAGUUUGAUACGAUGGAACUUAUCAGAUUGUAAUAUUCUAGGAAUUGGGUGCUACGAUAAUGAAGAUAUUACACAAUUUCUGAAGGAGAGCUGCUGGAAGCCAAGAAAUGAAAAGAGAAUGGGGAAAUCCAGACAGAUUUAUGUAUAUAUUAAGGGUUUAUCUUGGAGGUUGAAAUCACAAUUCAAGAGGAAAUUCUUCAUGGGACAUUCUAAAGGAAAGUAAUGAUAACUAAUGUACCCACCAGAACCUCUUCUCACGUAAAAAUUGCCGCUGUCCCCAGCAAAUUCCGUCAAUCAUUUUACAAAUGCUAGCUUAUUAAAGAUAUACCAAAAAGUAGGUAACUAGGGCUAAAUCUGAGACCAUGAUGUUUCAGAGUUUUAGAAUAUUAUUGUGAAUACACAGGAGAAAACAAAUUUAAAUUUUGUAAUCACAUUUGAAAAGUCAGAGCAUCACUUUGAGGGUGGCAUUGAGAUUUAUGGCCAGAAGUCAAGUUCAGCUUUAAGUUUAAUGCCAUUCAGCCUGUAUCUGUGUCCCUGCAGCUAGGGUAGCUAGCUAGGUUCCUGUUUCUUCUUGGACAACCAUCUCUAUCAUAGUCAUUUAUUUCUAUUUUUAAAUAUAGCUUGGUACAUGGGUUUAUCUUAAAAGUACAACACAUACUCAGUUUCCAACUAUUUCAAGAUGAAGUUCAUAACUAAAUCACAGUAAGGUGUACUUUUCCUAGAAUAUUUUGCAUUGCCCAAAGCCUUUCCCUUUAACAUAGUACAAUGAAGCCUAGGAUGUGAGCUUUUAUCUAGUAGCUGAUUUGCAUAAUGUAAGUAUGCACACAUACAUAUAUGUAAAUGCACAUAUGUGUGUUUUCUGAAAUGUGGUUUUCUGUUUCAACUUGGUUCUUAUUAGAAUGAUUUUUUAAAGUGACUAAAUAUUCUUUAGAUUCAUUUGUUUUUUCAAUAAAAUUGACAUAGUAACUCAUUUUUGAGAAAAUAAGCUUCUGUAUAUAAUAAUGGAUGACAUCCAUUCUUUGUCAUUGUCUAUGUAACAUUCUCUGCC
rnacentral:lncRNA from 1 species